AUGUCGUCGAAGCGCCACUCCGACGUGCAGGGCGUCGGCCGGAAGGCCAAGCGCCAGCGCCAGCGCCGCCACCUUUACUUCGUGGUCGACGACGGGGACGGGUACGCCAUACGCAAGAUGGACCUGUGGUCGGACUACGACUCGGACGACGACGCGGCGCGGCACGAGGACGGGGAGAUCGAGACGGUGGGCGCCGCGUGGUCGCCCCUGCCGGAGGCCCUCAUCCGCCUGCCUGCCCAGACGGGCGAGUUCUUCGUCGCCAGCGGCACCAAGAUCCUGAUCACGGACUGCGGCUGGCCGGAGCACGCCGUCCCCGUCUUCGACGUGCACUCGCGGAGCCUCACCCUCGGCCCUCGCCCCCACAGCCGGACGUGCCCGCACAGCCCGAUCUACAUGCCGGCCCUCUUCGACCCCGCGCUUGAGGCCUGGGUCGGCCUCUCCGGGGACAAGGACACCCUCGGCCACCUCUGCUCCUCCGACGUGCCGCCCGUCGAACCCGACGAUGCCGACAGUGACGACGACGACGACGAGGGCGGCCCUUACCAAGAAGAUGACGACGACGACGACGAGAGCGACCCUUACAAGGAGGAGGUGAACGAGGAGAACCUGCCUCGUCGUCAUCUGCUCCAGCUUAUAACAUUCACCCUCAAGUAUGACAAGAACGGAGAACUGACUACUGCCAAGCGUCGCAGGGUUCGAUGCUUCGAGCUGCUGCGUCAUGCUGAUCCGCUCUUUGAUGAUAUCCGGGCCUUCUGGAUAUAA
rnacentral:rRNA from 1 species